rnacentral:rRNA from 1 species
CCUACGGGAGGCUGCAGUGAGGAAUAUUGGUCAAUGGCCGGAAGGCUGAACCAGCCAUGCCGCGUGAAGGUCAGUGCCCUAUGGGCGUUAAACUUCUUUUGUGCGGGAGCAAUAAUGGUCACGUGUGGCCAGACGAGAGUACCGUACGAAUAAGCAUCGGCUAACUCCGUGCCAGCAGCCGCGGUAAGACGGGGGAUGCAAGCGUUAUCCGGAGUUAUUGGGUUUAAAGGGUGCGUAGGCUGUGAGGGAAGUCAGCGGUGGAAUGCCCACGCUCAACGGGGUGAAGUGCCAUUGAUACUGGCGUGCUGGAGUGCGGAUGAGGUGGGAGGAAUGGGUGGUGUAGCGGUGAAAUGCAUAGAUAUCACGCAGAACACCGAUUGCGAAGGCAUCUCACGGAUCCGCGAUUGACGCUGAUGCACGAAAGCGUGGGUAUCAAACAGGAUUAGAUACCCGGGUAGUC